GAGACCAUCAGCUGCCUUUCAUUUAAACCAAAGACAAGGGGCGGCGGUGCAGAAAUGUCCUGGUUCGGUUUUAGGUUAAUGGGAGUUUGAAAGGUGUUAGCCAAGAAAUAGGAUUUUUUUCACAGCGAUCUUGGAAAGGAGAAGUCGUCGUUGUGUGAAGCUGAGAUACUGCGUCAAAGGCUGACAAAAGUUUCCUUGGGAGUGUGACUGGGAGAAGAGAGUCAGUGAUUUUUAACAGUCCAUUUCUCAACAAAAAGUGACAACAUGUAAUGACAUAAAGGUAUAUGUACAUAGUGGAGGCCAGAGAGACAGGAGAACUCUGCCAGUGCACUUAGCUUGUCAGGCACCGGAAGGCCCCAAUCCAGAAGCAAGAUAACUACAUGAAGCUGAGCUAAUGAGCACUGCUGAGAGGCAAGCAAUUCAACAUCAGCUUCUCCAAAAAUGCAGAUAUUCAUGUUCUCAACUUGUUGUCAAACAAAACAACAUCAAGCAACAACCCAUACUUCAGCAGUUUUACUUCUACAACCACAGAAAUAAAUGUUGCUAA
rnacentral:lncRNA from 1 species